UACGAGGGGGGCAAGCGUUGUUCGGAAUUAUUGGGCGUAAAGGGCGCGUAGGCGGUGCGGUAAGUCACCUGUGAAAACUCUGGGCUCAACUCAGAGCCUGCAGGCGAAACUGCCGUGCUUGAGUGUGGGAGAGGUGCGUGGAAUUCCCGGUGUAGCGGUGAAAUGCGUAGAUAUCGGGAGAACACCUGUGGCGAAAGCGGCGCACUGGACCACAACUGACGCUGAGGCGCGAAAGCUAGGGGAGCAAACAGG
rnacentral:rRNA from 1 species